GGCUGGUCCGAGUGCAGUGGUGUUUACAACCGAUUGAGCGCAACCAGUUACAGAUUCCUGUGUUCCUUCUCCACCCCCACUGCUUCUCUUGACUAGCCUUGA
rnacentral:Y_RNA from 1 species